UUGAAAGGGAAACGAUUGAAGUCAGUCAUGCCGGCGGGAAUCAACUUAGGGGAAACUCUGAGUGCACUUCUUCGCUUGGCAGGUUAGCGUCGAUUUUGGAUGUCAUAAAAUGACUGGGGGAAGGUAGCUCUUUCGGGAGUGUUAAGCCCUUAGUAGAUGUGAUGUCCGGGACCGAGGAUUGCAACGGAUACCUUUUGGGCUAACCGCCUAGUCUCUAAUAUGAAGUUGGGUUAUGGACAGCACGCUGACUGUGAUCUGAUUUUCGAUUAAAAGAUUAGAGCGAGUGUAAAUUCGUUAAGGAUGUUGACGUA
rnacentral:rRNA from 1 species